AAGAGUAAGGGUCUCUGGCCCGACCUCCAACCCUCUGUUGUUAAAACUACCUUGUUGCUUUGGCGGGACCGUUCGGUCUCGAGCGCGCCGGUCUUCGGAUUGGCGAGCGCCCGCCAGAGUCCAACCAAACUCUUGUAUUAAACCAGUCGUCUGAGUAAAAACACAAUAAACAA
rnacentral:misc_RNA from 1 species